AAGUCGAACGGUAACAGGAAGCAGCUUGCUGCUUUGCUGACGAGUGGCGGACGGGUGAGUAAUGUCUGGGAAACUGCCUGAUGGAGGGGGAUAACUACUGGAAACGGUGGCUAAUACCGCAUAACGUCGCAAGACCAAAGAGGGGGACCUUCGGGCCUCUUGCCAUCAGAUGUGCCCAGAUGGGAUUAGCUAGUUGGUGAGGUAACGGCUCACCAAGGCGACGAUCCCUAGCUGGUCUGAGAGGAUGACCAGCCACACUGGAACUGAGACACGGUCCAGACUCCUACGGGAGGCAGCAGUGGGGAAUAUUGCACAAUGGGCGCAAGCCUGAUGCAGCCAUGCCGCGUGUAUGAAGAAGGCCUUCGGGUUGUAAAGUACUUUCAGCGGGGAGGAAGGUGUUGUGGUUAAUAACCGCAGCAAUUGACGUUACCCGCAGAAGAAGCACCGGCUAACUCCGUGCCAGCAGCCGCGGUAAUACGGAGGGUGCAAGCGUUAAUCGGAAUUACUGGGCGUAAAGCGCACGCAGGCGGUCUGUCAAGUCGGAUGUGAAAUCCCCGGGCUCAACCUGGGAACUGCAUUCGAAACUGGCAGGCUUGAGUCUUGUAGAGGGGGGUAGAAUUCCAGGUGUAGCGGUGAAAUGCGUAGAGAUCUGGAGGAAUACCGGUGGCGAAGGCGGCCCCCUGGACAAAGACUGACGCUCAGGUGCGAAAGCGUGGGGAGCAAACAGGAUUAGAUACCCUGGUAGUCCACGCCGUAAACGAUGUCUACUUGGAGGUUGUGCCCUUGAGGCGUGGCUUCCGGAGCUAACGCGUUAAGUAGACCGCCUGGGGAGUACGGCCGCAAGGUUAAAACUCAAAUGAAUUGACGGGGGCCCGCACAAGCGGUGGAGCAUGUGGUUUAAUUCGAUGCAACGCGAAGAACCUUACCUGGUCUUGACAUCCACAGAAGAAUCCAGAGAUGGAUUUGUGCCUUCGGGAACUGUGAGACAGGUGCUGCAUGGCUGUCGUCAGCUCGUGUUGUGAAAUGUUGGGUUAAGUCCCGCAACGAGCGCAAC
rnacentral:rRNA from 1 species